rnacentral:rRNA from 1 species
UACAGAGGGGCAAGCGUUAUUCGGAAUUAUUGGGCGUAAAGGGCGCGUAGGCGCCUAGCAAGUGGAAGGUGAAAUCCCUCGGCUUAACCGAGGAACUGCCCUCCAAACUGCUUGGCUUGAGUCCGGGAGAGGUGAGUGGAAUUCCCAGUGUAGCGGUGAAAUGCGUAGAUAUUGGGAGGAACACCAGUGGCGAAGGCGGCUCACUGGACCGGAACUGACGCUGAGGCGCGAAAGCGUGGGGAGCAAACGGG